rnacentral:tRNA from 1 species
GCCGGGAUGGCGGAAUCGGCAGACGCAGGGGACUUAAAAUCCCCCGAACGGAAGUUCGUGCGGGUUCGAGUCCCGCUCCCGGCACCA